GAGAUCCAUCCACACAGACCAGGUCCCAAGACUUAAGGAGCCGAGGAUAAUCUGAAUGAUACAUGAAAUGUAGAAGAAGAAAGUGCUGCUGGAUGAAGAGGUAAGGAGUGACAGACUGCACAUCUCCAACUCCUCAUCAAGCAUUACCGUGGGUUUGUCCCUCAUCCUGCUGGCACAUUCCCUCUCUCACAGCUAAAGCCCGGGCACCAGCUGUCAUCACCACCACUGCAAGAGAGUUCAGACUAAACUAUUCAGACAUCUUCACAAACAUCCAAACAGGAGAAUAAAAAACUCGUCAUUAAAGAAUUUUGUCAUGAUGGGAGGUCAUCUUGUUGUCAAACAAUAAAAAACAC